rnacentral:sRNA from 1 species
AUUAAAAAUAUAAUCUCCUGAACCAUGUGAAGAAGGUGGAAACUUGCAUGGAAUAUAGGCUUAAAUAACAGUAGAGUAUUAUAUAUGAGAUAUUUUAUAUAAUAUUAAUACCUAUUAAGUAAUUGUAGGGAUACUUAUAAAAAAUAUUAUAAGUCUGGGCUUAUAUGUGGAGGCAAUAUUCUUAGGUAAGUCACUUUUCUUAUCGGUGUGAUAAUAGACGAUCUAGAUGGAUAAUAAUCCUAUUAACCUUAGCUGGUAACUAAGAUAAUUAAUAGGAAAUGCGAAUAACACACUUUGAUUUGAUGCCGUUUUGGCUAUAAGAUAAGUUUAUGGUGCUAUGGUGAAUAUCAGAAAAAGCUAUAUUAUAAAAUCAUAGAGAUGAUUCUGAAUGCUCACUUGUAGUUGUUAGUAUUAAUCUAACUACGGAAAUAAUGCUUUAGAAGUAUAUGGGUAGCUACUAUAUGCUCAGACUAAAGUACCGUGUGGACGAAUACCUAUUUAUAUAACGCUAUUUUAAAGAGAAAUCUUCAGGAGAUUAUAUUUUAA